GCCGCGCUCCUCCUGUCCUAGGGAGCGGGCGAUCGUGGCCGGUGCGUCUCGGCCAUACGAAGAGGCCAGUGGGCGAGCGUGCGCACGAGGCUCUGCUUUUCACGCCCCUCGUGCUGCUGUAACCUUGGAAGAGCCCCUUUUUUCUUCGACUCUGGCUGUUGUGUCCCCUCACGAACUCCGGUCCUGGUCAGCUGCCUUCCCUCCUCCCCGCUUCCCCGGCGGACAGCGGGGACCGGUUAGAACCCGUGCCUCCCGGUCCCCGGUCCCCGGUAGAUUCCAGAGUAAGAAAGCCAGGGCCAGGCUGUCGCCCCUUCUAUCCGCGGCCUGCCGUAUUAUCACCACCCCGCCAAGAAGAAAAGGAAAUCUUUAA
rnacentral:lncRNA from 1 species